rnacentral:piRNA from 1 species
UAACUGAGUUAAUGGAGACCUGGCUAUC